GUGGGAAAAAAAAAGUGGGGGAAGGAAAGGGGACGGUAACUGGCAAAAAAAGCGCCUCUUAACUACGUGCCACCGCCCGCGUUAAUACGUAAGGGCGCAAGCUUUGUCCGAAAUUAUUGGGCGUAAAGAGUUCCUUAGGCGGUUUGCCCCGCCUGUUGUGAAACCCCGGGGCUCACCCCCGGGUCCUGCGGGGGGUACGGGGAAAACUAAAAGGGCAGUAGGGAAAAAUGGGAUUUCCUGGUGUAGGGGGGAAAUGCCCAAAUAUCAGGAGGACCCCCGAUGGCGAAGGCAGGUCUCUGGGCUGUUACUGACCCUGAGGAGGAAAAGCAUGGGGAGCGAACAGGAUUAGAUCCCCCGGUAGCCAA
rnacentral:rRNA from 1 species